rnacentral:lncRNA from 1 species
GAAACAGAAAGGGCAGAAUUGCACUCCAUAGUGUUGGAACUUGAGGAGGCCCAACACACUAUGCCCCAUUCUUGACAAGAAUCAAAUUGACUAAGAGCCACUGCAGUCAGGUGGAUGGAAAUUAAAGUAUCAUUUUUAUUAAUGAUGACAUUUUUAUGUGACUUAGUGUGAGGGGCAAAUGUAUUUGCCUACCCACCUCAGCUCCCAAAGACCUUCACGCAGAUCACUGGUCCCUGGAGGCAAAGGAAGAAAGCCAAAUCCCCUUCAAUGAAGAACUUAUAGUAGUUCUAGCAAUCCUUGGUUUAUACCCAAAGGACUUAAAAUCAGCAUACUAUAGAGAUGCAGCCACAUCAAUGUUUAUAGCAGCUCAAUUCACAAUAGCUAGACCGAGGAUGGAACCAACCUAGGUGUCCUUCAGUAGAUGAAUGGAUAAAGAAAAUGUGGUAUAUAUACACAAUGGUGUAUUACUGAGCUUUAAAGAAGCGUGAAAUUAUGGCAUUUGCCAGUAAAUUAUUAGAGUUGGAGAAUAUCAUACUAAGCGAAAUAAGCCAAUCCCACAAAACCAAAGGCCAAAUGUUUUCUCUAAUAUGCAGAUGCUAAU